UCCUGGGUGGCUCAGUUGGUAAAGCGUCUGACUUCAGCUCAGGUCAUGAUCUUACGGUUCGUGGGUUUGAGCCCCACGUCAGGCU
rnacentral:tRNA from 1 species